rnacentral:antisense_RNA from 1 species
AGUCCCUGGAGUUCCCAGCCAAGCCACAGACCUGCCUCUAAGGAAGGGAAUCGAGAAGGGAGUAGGAGGGGACCUCUGGGGACUCGGGCCUGGAGCUCCUGCCUGCCUAGAUGAAGAGGAGGUCAAGACUUUGUCCCCCACUCCCCAAGAUACCCCCUCUGUUCCAGAGCGGUGGGUCCCUCCCCUGUUAGGACCUUGUCUCCCUCAGGACUGGACCUGGAUCCUGGGCCUGCAGUCAGAUUGCCAGUCUCACUUAGAGGUGGUAAUGUCAACCCACUGGUUGGAAUGGGAAGAGACUGGGUCCCACUAUAUUGCCUGGGCUGGCCUCGGACUCUUGACCCCAAGUGAUCCUCUGGCCUCAGCCUCCCAAGCAGCUGGACUUAUAGGCAGGCACCACCACACCGAGCUAAAAACUCCUGGCUUCCCUGGGCCUGCUGCACCGGCUCUGGCUAGGUUGGAGAGGGCUGCAGGCAGGACUGUAGUCAGCAGAGGGCACCAAAGCCUCUCAACACACCCAUGGCCCAGGCCUGGCCCAGAAGGAGAGCGCUGAGAGCCAGGACAGGCGGGCUACGUGCCCUGUGGAUUCCCCCAUUUCCCAUGCUUCAUCCGGCCAUGGGCCUGCAGUGCACUCACAAAUGUGCAUAUAACCUCCUGUGUGUGUGUUACGCUCAUGAAAUUGUCUCUGAAUUUGCUUGACUUCAUGUGUUCCUGUGUGUGUGUAUGUGUGUGUGUGUGUGGUGUGUCUGGUGUAUCUGGUUCCCCACGAU